AGAGUUUGAUCUUGGCUCAGGACGAACGCUGGCGGCGUGCGUAAUACAUGCAAGUUGAGCGCUGAAGGUUGGUACUUGUACCGACUGGAUGAGCAGCGAACGGGUGAGUAACGCGUGGGGAAUCUGCCUUUGAGCGGGGGACACACAUUUGGAAACGAAUGCUAAUACCGCAUAAAAACUUUAAACACAAGUUUUAAGUUUGAAAGAUGCAAUUGCAUCACUCAAAGAUGAUCCCGCGUUGUAUUAGCUAGUUGGUGAGGUAAAGGCUCACCAAGGCGAUGAUACAUAGCCGACCUGAGAGGGUGAUCGGCCACAUUGGGACUGAGACACGGCCCAAACUCCUACGGGAGGCAGCAGUAGGGAAUCUUCGGCAAUGGACGAAAGUCUGACCGAGCAACGCCGCGUGAGUGAAGAAGGUUUUCGGAUCGUAAAACUCUGUUGGUAGAGAAGAACGUUGGUGAGAGUGGAAAGCUCAUCAAGUGACGGUAACUACCCAGAAAGGGACGGCUAACUACGUGCCAGCAGCCGCGGUAAUACGUAGGUCCCGAGCGUUGUCCGGAUUUAUUGGGCGUAAAGCGAGCGCAGGUGGUUUAUUAAGUCUGGUGUAAAAGGCAGUGGCUCAACCAUUGUAUGCAUUGGAAACUGGUAGACUUGAGUGCAGGAGAGGAGAGUGGAAUUCCAUGUGUAGCGGUGAAAUGCGUAGAUAUAUGGAGGAACACCGGUGGCAAAAGCGGCUCUCUGGCCUGUAACUGACACUGAGGCUCGAAAGCGUGGGGAGCAAACAGGAUUAGAUACCCUGGUAGUCCACGCCGUAAACGAUGAGUGCUAGAUGUAGGGAGCUAUAAGUUCUCUGUAUCGCAGCUAACGCAAUAAGCACUCCG
rnacentral:rRNA from 1 species